CAUAAAGUAGUUUAAAAAAAACGUAAAAUUGCAAAUUUUAAGCUGCUAAAACUGGCCUUUAUGU
rnacentral:tRNA from 1 species